rnacentral:piRNA from 1 species
ACAGGGUAUGACUGAUGCUGUGGGGU